UCUUGGCCGUGCUCUGACGGACUUUGUCAGCGGGUUAUAGAGAGCAGAUAGCCAGCAAUUAAGAUAAAGAGUAAAAAACAAACCAAACAGAUAAACACCCAACCCUCUCUUCGUUUCUCAUCCGGAAAGCAGGAAGAUGAAAACGUGGGACUUUGUUUUCAAAGUCUCUGUUUCCCCUCCUGCUCCCCUGUCCCUGAUUGAUUGGUGGUAACUGUCAGAGAGAAGUUGAGUGAAGUCAUUAAUUUAGGAAGAGUUAUGUGGUUAUGUAGUAAGGAAUCCAAAGGGCAUUCUAGAGCCUUUCUGAACUGCUUGAUUAGCUUAUAACUGCUAGAAAAAACUGUGCUAUUAAAAUAGGCUUAAGGGAAACACGAUAUUGACUUUGAGUGAAUAAGAAUCAUCAGCCUACAGGUCAUAUUUAUUAAUUGAAUCUAUUCUAUGGGGCUUCUACUGAAGUCUGUCUGAAGGAACUGGGGCUGUUUACUCUGGGGAAAAGGAGGCUGAGGGGAGACCUCAUUGUUCUCUUCCAACGUCUGAAAGGUGCUUACAGCCAGAGCGGGGUAGGUCUCUUCUCACUGGUGACAGGUGACAAGACGAGGGGAAAUGGCCUCAAGUUGCACCACGCUUUGAGGACUGUGAACCUAUUUUAUAAAUGCAAGCAACUUAGGUGGGACAGGAGCCUUUCUCUGGGUUCCAGAGGAAGCUCUACCAACUCCCAUCUUUCCCCUUCUCCAGAGGUUGUGCUUACUUGAAUAAAGGAUGGUAGGGAUAGUAGGGAUGGGCACUGUAAGCUCUCCAGUGCAUAAAUGGGUUGACUGGGUCACUGCUACCCUGUGUCCUCUGCUAAAUUGCCACCACACUUUGGAACAGUGCAAGGCUGUCUAUCACAGCUCUAAUUGUGAGAAGCAGACUGUGCUGCCUGCCAGUGGGGAUGCAUUUCAUAUUUCCAUCAUCUGUCCUUUUCUAGCCUAACUGGACCCAUCCAGUAAAUCGGAGGUGCAUUGAUCAUCUGUUCUACACCAUCAAGUGCCCAGAGGACAAAGAAAAGUGGGCAUUACAGCGAUAGAAAAGUGUUGACACUGCAGUGAGAGGCAUGAAGUGGAAGAACAGGAACACGAGUCCCAUGUUUUUCACGAGUCUUGACAUGGCUGAGAGGACCUGUGAUCCUGAUGGUGUCUUUAAUUAAUUCCCAGACAUAGAAUGCUUCCGUUAUCAAUAAUGCCCUAGAGUCCAGAGAGAGAUGGGAAGUUAGUAGUGCACUGUGUACUCAUAUGCAUGCCAGAUAAAGCCCUUUUAAUGCCUUGUUUGAUAGGUGCUUGUAGCUAAUUUGGAGUAUGAAACACCAUGAAAGCUUUUGUACUAUUUUGCAAGGCGUAUUUUUUUGUUCUUUAAGUAGACAAUGUACUUCUUUUUAAGCUCCUGGUAUGAAGGAGCUGCUGGUCUGCAUGGGGAAUAUUUUACUUCAUUAAUAGUAUGAUUUGUUCUGGGGUAAGGAUUGAUGUAUUUGCCAAAUAA
ensembl:lncRNA